rnacentral:rRNA from 1 species
GUGUAGUGCCACACCAUCCUGCCUGCACCUGAUUUCAUCUGAUCUUGGAAGCUGAGCAGUGUUGGGCUGGUUGGUACUUGGAUGGAAGAAUACAUCUGCCUGCGUUACCAC